rnacentral:rRNA from 1 species
AGCAGUCGCCGCGGUAAUACGUAGGUCCCGAGCGUUGUCCGGAUUUAUUGGGCGUAAAGCGAGCGCAGGCGGUUUGAUAAGUCUGAAGUUAAAGGCUGUGGCUCAACCAUAGUUCGCUUUGGGAACUGUCAAACUUGAGUGCAGAAGGGGAGAGUGGAACUCCAUGUGUAGCGGUGAAAUGCGUAGAUACAUGGAGGAACACCGGUGGCGAAAGCGGCUCUCUGGUCUGUAACUGACGCUGAGGCUCGAAAGCGUGGGGAGCGAACAGGAUUAGAUACCCCUGUAGUCCCUGUCUCUUAUACC